rnacentral:rRNA from 1 species
CCUACGGGGCGCAGCAGUGAGGAAUAUUGGUCAAUGGGCGGGAGCCUGAACCAGCCAAGCCGCGUGAGGGAAGAAGGUACAGCGUAUCGUAAACCUCUUUUGUCAGGGAACAAAGGCGGGGACUAGUCCCCGGAUGAGGGUACCUGAAGAAAAAGCAUCGGCUAACUCCGUGCCAGCAGCCGCGGUAAUACCGAGGAUGCGAGCGUUAUCCGGAUUUAUGGGGUUUAAAGGGUGCGCAGGCGGCCUGUUAAGUCAGCGGUAAAAGCCCGGGGCUCAACCCCGGCGAGCCGUUGAAACUGGCGGGCUGGAGUUGGAGAGAAGUACGCGGAAUGCGCGGUGUAGCGGUGAAAUGCUUAGAUAUCGCGCAGAACCCCGAUUGCGAAGGCAGCGUACCGGCUCCACACUGACGCUGAGGCACGAAAGCGUGGGUAUCGAACAGGAUUAGAUACCCCGGUAGUC